UUCAAUGUAGUUAAUUAAAAAUUUCAAAAAUUCAUAUAAAAAUAAACAAAACAAAAAGUUCUCAAAGGUUUCAUAUUUUUAGUAGGAACUUGCAUUACCUUCUCCUCGGCCUUUGCUUCUGCCUUGGCCUUACGCAAGGCAUUCAUCUCUUGAAACUUGUCCUUCACAGCCUGCAUUUUUUCUAGAUAUUUAUUUAUUCACGAAGCAAAUUUAAAGUGUAUGUUAAAAGAUUUUAGAAUUAAUUUGAAAAUUAUAUAAG
rnacentral:lncRNA from 1 species